rfam:Ficedula albicollis isolate OC2 chromosome 12, whole genome shotgun sequence.
ACCAGGAUGGCCGAGUGGUGAAGGCGUUGGACUUAAGAUCCAAUGGGCGCGCGCCCGCGUGGGUUCGAACCCCACUUCUGGUA